rnacentral:lncRNA from 1 species
GAACUCUAGAAUCUCUCUAAUUAUAGACAUUCACCUUAAAUAGGAGAUUUCAUAACAAAACCUUAACCUUUUUUUAAUCCAAUAUCAAUGUUUAAAACUCACAAACACAUCAAUAAUGACACCUGUAUUUUAUUGACAAAAGAAAGAAACAAAAAACUAUAUAAAGAAAUAAAAAGGACAAGGAAUGAAACAUAAUUGAUUAUCUGAUUUCUUUUAAUUAGAAAUAGUAAUCAAAUGACCUAAACAUGAAUGAUCAAUUCCUUGUAACACAAAUUCACUCACCUUGAUCCAAAUAAUUGGGAUUUCCAACAUUAAAAUAAGGACUAACAUGAUGUCCAAGACGAAAUAUUUUAAUUCUCAAAAUAGUAAUAGACUUUUCAUUAUUCAUUGUAUAUCAGAAUGCAAAGUAUGUUUCACUGAUGAGUUUUUUAACUAAACAUAAAUAUUUAUAACUAUUGGAAGAAUUAAAAUCGAUCUUAUAUCUAUUUAAACUAAACUAUGUCCUCAUGAUAGUCGAAUUUGUCACUAUAGUUUCUUAGCAAGGUAAAAUAAUCAUAUACAACUUAAAGAAAUAUUAACAGAAAACUCUUUGAAUUCCUCAACCGGGAUACCAUUAGACUAAUGAAACCUCUCAAACACAUUAGUGUCUAGACCAAACAUAGAACCUAAAUACAAAUGUUGUCUUAGUUUAGAAGAAAAUCUAGAACACUUGCAGUGAAAAACAUAAAACUAAAACUUAUUCUAAUACAUAUUUCAUCAUCCAACAAUUUAACUUCGAUAACUAACUAGAAAAUUUGAAUCAGAAUGCAUUAGCUGAUCCAAAUAGCCAUUUUAAAUCAAUUUUCUAUUCAAAGAACCAUGUAUUCAAUCAAAAUAUAUUCUUAUCACAUCAUCACCACAACUUUAUGCAACUAGAAAAUAAAUUACGAAGUUGACAAAUGCAUAGUUUGCAGAAGUAGAAAGAAAUGCAGUCGAGUGACAGAAUGACAAGCAAUUUUAGUUAAAGCGAACUAGCAACAACAGUAAAUCGUCAGCAGUAAAAUCAACACCAAAAGUGAACUCAAAAGCUAAUCCAGAGAAUUAGCAAUAUGUUUUAGACCAAAAAACAAACAAAAGAAACCAAGACUCUUGAUGUUUUUCUUGCCUAAAACUUAUUGUGUGCUGAACAUUUAGUAAAAUGCUCUCUAAUUCUUUCUCCCUUUUAUGUGUAGAUGUGUGUUAAAAUUGAUUUUUU